GUGGGGAAUAUUGGACAAUGGGCGCAAGCCUGAUCCAGCCAUGCCGCGUGAGUGAUGAAGGCCUUAGGGUUGUAAAGCUCUUUCGUCAGGGAAGAUAAUGACGGUACCUGAAGAAGAAGCCCCGGCUAACUUCGUGCCAGCAGCCGCGGUAAUACGAAGGGGGCUAGCGUUGCUCGGAAUCACUGGGCGUAAAGCGCACGUAGGCGGCUUUCUAAGUCAGGGGUGAAAUCCUGGAGCUCAACUCCAGAACUGCCUUUGAUACUGGAGAGCUUGAGUUCGGGAGAGGUGAGUGGAACUGCGAGUGUAGAGGUGAAAUUCGUAGAUAUUCGCAAGAACACCAGUGGCGAAGGCGGCUCACUGGUCCAUUACUGACGCUGAGGUGCGAAAGCGUGGGGAGCAAACAGGAUUAGAAACCCCAGUAGUCC
rnacentral:rRNA from 1 species